UGUUCCGUAUAAAAAUUAAGUUUAUUUUUUUUUUCGGUCAAAUAAGAACGAGAGUUAUAAAUGUGUGCAUGCUUUAUAGGUACGGAUAAGUUGAUCAUAAGUUCGCAGAUUGUAAGCAAAUAACCCUAUAGCUGCUUUUAGAAUGAGAAAUAUAACAAAAAAAGUAUAAAAAGCCGAUUAGGGAUUAAUUUAAAGUACACUCGACGUAAAAUACGAGCAUUCUACCACUAAAACACCGAUGAUAUUUUUAUAAACAAAAAAUGUAAUUGACUAUUAAACGUAAAAGGCGUAUAAAAAAUUGGUUAAGAGUUUUUAUAUAAUCCCUAAGUGGAGGAAAAUCCUGCGCGUGCUGAAAUCGAAAACUGUUUUUAGUGUUGAAUCUAAUGACCUUAACCGGCAGAAUUUUUUUCUAACCUCAAAAAGACAUUGCGGAUUUUAUGAGAUGCAAAAAUUUAUAAAUAUUAACGGAUUUACUUUAAGCUUGCUACCUAGGGGUUUUUUGGGUCACUAAUUACGAAUUUGAGAUUAGUUUUUCAAAAUUCAAAAUGGCGGAUCCAAUAUGGCGAACGAAUCUUUUUUAAAUUCUUCUAAAUCACUUGAAACUUAUUACUCGGGGGUUUUUGGGGUCGCUGAUUACGAAUUUGAGGUUAGUUUUUCAAAAUUCAAAAUGGCGGAUCCAAUAUUGCGAAAGAAUUUUUUUUUAUAUUGUUGUAAAUCACUUGAAACUUAUUACAAGGGGGUUUUUGGGGUCGCUGAUCACGAAAUUGAGGUUAGUUUUUCAAAAUUCAAAAUGGCGGAUCCAAUAUGGCGAACAAAUCUUUUUUAAAUUCUUCUAAAUCACUUGAAACUUAUUACUCGGGGGUUUUUUGGGUCACUGAUUACGAAUUUGAGGUUAGUUUUUCAAAAUUCAAAAUGGCGGAUCCAAUAUGGCGAACAAAUCUUUUUUAAAUUCUUCUAAAUCACUUGAAACUUAUUACUCGGGGGUUUUUUGGGUCACUGAUUACGAAUUUGAGGUUAGUUUUUCAAAAUUCAAAAUGGCGGAUCCAAUAUGGCGAACAAAUCUUUUUUAAAUUCUUCUAAAUCACUUGAAACUUAUUACUCGGGGGUUUUUUGGGUCACUGAUUACGAAUUUGAGGUUAGUUUUUCAAAAUUCAAAAUGGCGGAUCCAAUAUGUCGAAAGAAUUUUUUUUAUAUUGUUGUAAAUCACUUGAAAUUUAUUACUCGGGGGUUUUUGGGGUCGCUGAUCACGAAUUUGAGGUUGGUUUUUCAAAAUUCAAAAUACUAAACGAAAUAAUGAAAAAAAAUGUUAGAUUUUUAUGAAAUUUCGUAUUUAAAGAUUCAAAUUUCCAGUUAAAGUACAGUAAAAUAAUUUAAUAAAUAGUAAAUAAAUUGAAAAUUUCCUUUUUUUUUCU